CUAUUGACCAAAUUAGAAGGCUCCAACGUGGGUAAAUUGGACUUGGGCCAAAUCCUUGGAGGGGAUCCAAACAAGUAAACUCAUAAUUUAAACUGAGAAAUUAUGUAUUAGACAAACGGAGAAUAAUGUGAUCCCUAUGAUGUGGUGCAAGGUGAUUAAGGAUCCGUCAUCUGGACUGAUCAAAUAUGAGAAAGCGAAUUACUGUAAGUAACUUGUCUUAAUCUUAUUAUGGAUCAUGAAUACGCUUUCUUACCUAAAUUAUAAGUGUAAGUAA
rnacentral:lncRNA from 1 species